UACGGAGGGGGCGAGUGUUGUUCGGAAUUACUGGGCGUAAAGGGCGCGCAGGCGGCCUGGCAAGUCGAGUGUGAAAUCCCUCGGCUUAACUGAGGAAUGGCGCUCGAAACUACCUCGCUGGAGGGCGGGAGAGGGAAGUGGAACUCUCGGUGUAGGGGUGAAAUGCGUAGAUAUAGGAAGGAACACCAGUGGCGAAGGCGACCACCUGGACUGAUACUGACACUGAGGUGCGAAAGCGUGGGGAGCAAACAGG
rnacentral:rRNA from 1 species